CACGUAGGGUGCAAGCGUUGUCCGGAAUCAUUGGGCGUAAAGAGCUCGUAGGCGGCUUAGUAAGUCGGGUGUGAAAACUCUAGGCUCAACCUAGAGACGCCACCCGAUACUGCUAUAGCUAGAAUCCAGUAGGGGAGUGUGGAAUUCCCAGUGUAGCGGUGAAAUGCGCAGAUAUUGGGAGGAACACCAGCGGCGAAGGCGGCACUCUGGGCUGGUAUUGACGCUGAGGAGCGAAAGUGUGGGGAGCGAACAGG
rnacentral:rRNA from 1 species